ACCGGAGGCGCGGCCGCCCUGGGCUGAGAAGACGCCGUCGGCCCAGGUGGCAUCAGAACCCACAGGAGGAAGACAGCCAGCCCAGAAGGAGCCAUGGGGGGCCUCUGGGGAUCGCAAGGGUCGACCCCAUCCUCCCUGAAACAAGGCCGGAGGUUGAGGAGGUCUCCGCCCGGCCCCGCAGCUGACAACCGGUGGAGAAACCGCACCUGCCACGGGAGGGGCCGCGGGGUGGGCUCGAGCCACCAUGGGGCUGGUACAAGCACCCUCUCCGCUCAGGACCUCGGCCCUCAUCCCAGGGCACCAGGGCUCACAGGGGGAUGGGCCCGGGUGGGGACGAGGGUGUGGAGGGGCAGGAAGCACGGCGGGUGGAGCGGAGCCGGGUGCGGGGGUCGCGGGGGACCGCGGGGACGGGGCCUUGUGAUGCAGGAGACGGAGGGGGCUGGUGACGGAGGACGGGAGGCCGCAAGGAUGGGGGACGCGACAUCCUUUUCCCCUCCCACCGGCUCACCAGGGAUGCGCCUCCGCGACUGCCCGCCCCAAUCCCAGGGCGGAGGCCUCGCGCAAAACCCAGGCGCCGCGGCUCCGCGCUCCGGCUGAGGGUCCGCGCCGCCGCCCGCCCGCUCCUUCCCGCUCGGCCGCGGCCUCAGGGACGGAUACUCCAGCGCGCGGUUCCAACCGAGGCCCGUGGCGGGUUUAGCCCCAUGAAGAUGAACUGGGCACCCGCGAAUGGCUGGGCUCUGCUACAGGAGGCAGCCUUCCUCUGCGUGCGGCCGCGGAGGGCUCCGCGGGGGCUCGAGAGGGGCCUCGAGGGUGUGUGUGAGGCCGGCGCUGUGCUAUGGUGCCCCGGGCUCCUCCCUGCGCGUGGCUGCGGCCGGGGCGGCGGGCUCAGGCUGGAGAAGGGCCGCGGGACCCGGGGAACGCGGCCUGGAGGACGAGGAGGACUGGGUUCCCGGAGGCAACAGGACCGGCUCGGCAUCUACAGCUACUGUACGUGGACUUCGGGCGCUGGACCCACGGGCGGCCUGUGCCUCUGUGUCGGGCUGGGUGGCGCCCUCAGUGCCCUGGGGCUGCUGCGGCCCUAGGCCUGGCUGGGCUCGGUGACCACAUCUGGCCCCCGGGCCGCACCGUCCCCCAGGAUCCUCCGGCCUGGGCUCCCCCUUCCUCCCUUGCCCACAGUCUUGGAGCCCCAGUGGGUGCAGGAGCUGCUGGCUGCCCCUGUGGACCCGCCAUCCACCGUCCUGCCCAUGCUGCCUCGCCAUCCACCUGCCUGCCCACGCCGCCUCAGCCUCCCACCUCCCACCUAGAGGAGACCAUGGGCCCUGCCCCACCUGCUCCAGGAUGUUAGGGUCCCCUCAGCCAAAAAGGCAGUGGCCUGUGGCUCCUGUACCAACAGCCCAGCCACACUCCAGAGCCGCCCAAAGGGAGGUGCCAAGGCCAGGAACCCAAGCCACCCCAGCUCCCCAUGCCUGCCCAGGGGCCGUGGUAACCCAUGGACAGGGAGGUGACCUCAGGCUGGUUCUGCCACUGAGGCCCUGAGGAAUCAGGCCCUCCCCAAAAGAAGUAAUGAAAUGGACCAAAGGACUUAAGAAUUUGGGGGGAAGUAAGGGGAAAACGUUAGGUGCUAACCACCUGCCCAGAAGAGUGGAUCUCACAGCCCAGGAACAUUCCCAAGCAGGAAAACCAUCCGUCCAGGAACCCUAACCCUAAAACUAAGCACAACCCCUACCCCUAACCCCUGACCCUAACGCUGACCCUUAACCAUAACCCUUAACCCUAACCACUAACGCAAAACACUAACCCUUAACCCUAACCCCUAACACCUAACCCCCACCUCAAGCACUAAACCCUAAGCCUAAACCUUAACCCUAACUGCUAACACUAACCCAUAACCCUAAGCCCUAGCCCCAACCCUAAACUUGACCCUGAACCCAAGCCUCCAACCCAACCCCGACACAAACCCCUAACCCUAACCCCUAAUUCUAGCCCUAAUCCCUAAAUCCAACACCAACCCUUGACCGGACCCCUGACCCCUAACCCUAACCUCAACUCAUAACCUCAACCCCUACUCCUACACCUAACCCCUACCCUAAUGCUAGCCAUAAACCUAACACCCAAACCCAAACUCGAACCUAUGCCUACCCCUAAAACCCUAGCCCGAACCGUAACCACAAAUCCUAACACACAACGCUACCCCUAAACCUACCACUACCCCACCCCAAACCCUGACACCGAACCCUGAAG
rnacentral:lncRNA from 1 species